rnacentral:pre_miRNA from 1 species
UUGAAGUAAAUCCAACGUUUCGCCUGGCAAUCUGGUUCCUUGAAAAAGCUUGGACCAGAUUGCUAGGCGAAACGUUGGAUUUACUUCAAAUUC